CUGACAGAAUACGUACAGCUGUUAUGGCUGUCACAAGUUUCACGGGAAAAUAUAAACACUCCAAGUAACUUCAAAAAUGCAUCGUAUUCUUCGGUGUGACUCGUCAUAAUUAUUGAACUGUGUUAUAACUUUAAUCACAAAUUGAAGUUUCUAUUUUUUUAUGUAGAACGUUUUUUAUCAUAAGAUAAAUUUAAUGUUUCCAUGGAUGCGUGAUCAAAUAGAGGCCUGGCAUAACAGAAAGAGUGCAAGGACAGCUGAUAAGCGGUCCUUGGGGCUUUCUUCUGUGAGCACAGGCAACUCUGAAAACAGAAACAUGAUUAUGGAUUUACCUUCCUCAUCACCUGAAGGUUUUCCUAUCAACAUUAUCAGCAUAGAGGGCAACAUACUAGAUGUUACAGUAAAACCAAAUUUCACUAUAGAAAAUUUAAAAAAGAUAGCAGUGAUGCAUUUCUACGGUCAAGAAGUGAAUAAGUCUUCAUCAUGCUACAGCUUGGUUCAUUCAUCCAAAUGUAGACGGCUUGUAGAUUCAAAUUAUAUAGAUGACGAGGAAAUCAAUGAAUAUGAUGAAUUAUUAUUAGUGGAAAAUCGAGCGCAAAUACAAGAAAAUCUCUCAGAUGAAUCUCUCAAGGGUCCAAGUCGAGAUGCAAUAGCUAGAGCUACAAGUAAUCUACCUAGUCGAAGUACAUCCAAACCUAUGCCACCCACGGAAUGUCCUGCUGAUUUUCAGGAUGAAAUUCGUAAAAUUUUAAUAACUCUUUCACGAGCAUCUGCAAGAAUUUUAAUGCACAGUCAGCAUGCUGAAAAUUUGUAUGACGUCAUUAAAGGCAGACUGGAAGAUAAAUACAGACUUACUCAUGAUCCAAAGCUCGUGAAAACUCUCAUGGACAUGGGUUAUCCUCAAAAGAAAGUUGUCAAAGCACUUCGUCUGCGAAAAUUGCGUAUAAUAGAUGCUUUAGAAUGGCUUAUAGAACACCAGGACGAUCCAGAUGACCAAGAUAGUGAAACGGAUCUCACCAUGGAUACAACAACAGACGCAAGUGCCGCAGAUCCCGGUUCCUCAAGUCCCAGAAUAAAGUGGUUAUACGACGAAUGUGACGAACUGUUUUUGGAUUCUGAGAAUGCAUUAACUUCAGGAAAUCCGAAAGAAAAAAAUCUAAUAUACAUUGUAGAAUUAAUGCUGGAAUGUUUCCGGCAGUACAAGAAAAUGGAGUUCAAACCUAAUAAAAAAGCGCUGUGGUCGCUCGUGGAUAUGGGUUUUGAGGAAAAAAAAGUUGUAGUAGCGUUGAAGAUUACCGGAAACGAUCAGGCUAAUGCUUGCGCCUGGUUGCUGGGUGAAAGGAGACGUAGCUUGCAAGAUCUGGAUGAGGGUCUCGAUCCCGAGGGGCCAAUUUAUAAAGCGAUUAUGAGCAAUCCUCUCAUACAGCUUAGUCUUACCAAUCCUAGAAUGCUACUCGCUUGUUUAUCGAUGAUAGAUAUUCCCGCAAUAACAACAGUAUGGGCCAGCGACCCGGAGAUCUCGCCUGUUCUCAAUCAGAUAACCAAAACAUAUCACGCUGAGAAACACGCUCUCCAUAUGAAUCGUUAUAGUACCUCUAUUUAGGACUACUCUGUGAAACUCGUUCGAGUCUCUGAAACAUCAUCGACACACAUAGCGCGAAAGGUUUUAAAUUCCCGCUGCUCCUAUACAUCCGAGUGCUUCACAAUCAAUUGAUCAAUUUGGUCAAUUCGAAUGGAAUUUAUUGAGACAAAAUCCGGACCUGAUUGGUUACAUAUCAAUUUCUUGCGCAUAUGUAGUUUAACUAUGGACCUGCAAAAUUAACGAGUUGCGCCAAACUAGAAUAUGAGUCAGCAAUCACGUGAUCAACUGCGUGCGUUUGCGCGCAUGUGUGGGAUUUGAUUAUAAAUAUUUUUUUAUACAAUUUACAAGAGAUUGUAGACAAGAAAGAUUUUUUUAUACCAUUCCUUUGCAAUUAGUGUAAAGAAUAUAAAGAAGACGGAUGAAAAAAUCUUUUGAUCUUUUGAUCUCUGACAUCGUUAAGCAACGGCGCAUGCGGAUUAGGGCGAUCCGGAGCGCGUGGAGCGGGACAACCGACGAGUGAAAUAAACGAGUCGCGCGUAUUACAUCGAUCAUCAUGUAGACGCGCUCCGAAAGCGCUUGAUCGCGAAGAGAAAAAUUGACGGUUCAUUUCUGGGGUGUAUUUUGUGCACGAUAAUCAGCGAUAAUUAAUUCAUCGACGGCAAACUCUACGUUGAAUUGCAAUAAUAUGACAGAGCGCGUAAAACAGUUUCUUUAGAAAAAAACGACAUAAGUUUCAACAAUUCAGUCGGAAUACUCUUACGCGAUUAAAAUACUUUUACGUUUCACACGAUGAUAAAAACUCCAAUUAAUAAUUUAGUAUAAAAUAGAGAGACGAACUCUUGUGUGCAUGUGUGUUGCGCGUUGGCGAGAUCGCGAG